rnacentral:rRNA from 1 species
GUUGUAAUCUAUAGAAACGUUUUCCGUGCCGGACCGCGUCCAAGUCCCUUGGAACAGGGUAUCAAAGAGGGUGACAAUCCCGUACUUGACGCGACGACCGGUGCUCUGUGAUACGUUCUCUACGAGUCGAGUUGUUUGGGAAUGCAGCUCAAAACGGGUGGUGAAUUCCAUCUAAGGCUAAAUAUUGGCGAGAGACCGAUAGCGAACAAGUACCGUGAGGGAAAGAUGAAAAGCACUUUGGAAAGAGAGUUAAACAGUAUGUGAAAUUGUUGAAAGGGAAACGAUUGAAGUCAGUCGUGACCUUGGGAUUCAGCCGGCCCUGCCGGUGUAUUUCUCAAGGUCGGGUCAACAUCAGUUUCGAUCGGUGGAUAAUGGCUGCUGGAACGUGGCUCCCUCGGGAGUGUUAUAGCCUGCUGUCGCAUACAC